UCUCCUGUAGCUCAGUGGUAGAGCAUUCGACUGGUGUUCGGGAAGGUCAUAGUUCAACUCUUGUUGGGAGAA